UCCAUAUCAAAAAAGAAAAGUGUAUGGUGCGAAUCUUCUCCCAAAACUCCUCUCCGACGACCUCCUCCCAGGUCUCCGACGAGCUCACUCCAUAGAUCUCAAACCCAUGCUCCUCCGACUAACGACACUGCUGUGCCCUGGCUCCGCCGCCCCGCUCGAGCGACGCCGCCGUCAUCCGGCCAGACACCGCUGGCCUCCAAUCCACACGCCACAGCCAAAUCGGACACCUCCGUCUCUUCAACUGCGGGAUUGGGCAUCAGUCCUCCGCGUCCAAGUCCGGUGGAUUGCCGCCGCUGUCAACGGCGGGAUCGGGCCCCCAGCCUCAACAGCGGGGUCCUAUAGUCAGCGGCCACCGCGAUCCUCGCCUGCGGGAUCGGACACCACUGCCGCAAGGACCCGAGAAUGAGGGAGUGUGACACUUAGAGUAUAGAUGGCAUACCUGUCAAAAAGGCCAAGUCUGAUGAUAACAUCUGCAAGAUUAGAGUUAGCCUUGCCCAGAAGUUGAAAGAGCUUUUUUUUUUCCCAUUGUGAAGUCCGUAGUCUUCUCCUUUUAUCCAUGUUGUCAUGGAUGGCUUCGUAACCUAAUUUCCAUCACGUGAUAAUAGAGUGCAUGUUGAGUGUUACAAAAGGGGAUUAAGCGCUGAGCCCUUUAGCCGCCAUUAUUCUGUCUGGGCAGCUACUAACAUAAGAGGCCAGAGAGACUAUCUUGGAUGCCGUAGCAAGGAGCUGAACUGGGGAACUUCUUUGUUCGCUAGUGUUGGUGCACACAAGUCCGAAAUCUGUAUCCUCGUUGUAAUUUUGCAUUGUUCGAAUUUUGGAGGCAUCAUGUAAAGCUGGUAAACUUUUGGUGUUGAUGAAUUGAUACUUUGGAAGUUUUCUUUUGUAGAUGAUAAAUCUGCUAUAUUGAAACUUUGUUAUCACUUAACAUCACAA